UACGGGGGGAGCAAGCGUUGUUCGGAUUUACUGGGCGUAAAGGGCGCGUAGGCGGCGCGACAAGUCAGUUGUGAAAUCUCUGGGCUUAACUCAGAGCGGCCAACUGAUACUGUCGUGCUAGAGUGCGGAAGGGGCAACUGGAAUUCUCGGUGUAGCGGUGAAAUGCGUAGAUAUCGAGAGGAACACCUGCGGCGAAGGCGGGUUGCUGGGCCGACACUGACGCUGAGGCGCGAAAGCCAGGGGAGCGAACGGG
rnacentral:rRNA from 1 species